rnacentral:rRNA from 1 species
UACGAAGGGGGCUAGCGUUGCUCGGAAUGACUGGGCGUAAAGGGCGCGUAGGCGGUUUGUACAGUCAGGUGUGAAAUUCCCGGGCUCAACCUGGGGGCUGCACUGGAUACGUAUGGACUGGAGUGGGGAAGAGGGUCGUGGAAUUCCCAGUGUAGAGGUGAAAUUCGUAGAUAUUGGGAAGAACACCGGUGGCGAAGGCGGCGACCUGGUCCUUGACUGACGCUGAGGAGCGAAAGCGUGGGGAGCAAACAGG